rnacentral:rRNA from 1 species
AACGAACGCUGGCGGCAUGCCUAACACAUGCAAGUCGAACGAGACCUUCGGGUCUAGUGGCGCACGGGUGCGUAACGCGUGGGAACCUGCCCUUAGGUUCGGAAUAACUCCCCGAAAGGGGUGCUAAUACCGGAUAAUGUCUUCGGACCAAAGAUUUAUCGCCUUUGGAUGGGCCCGCGUUGGAUUAGCUAGUUGGUAGGGUAAAAGCCUACCAAGGCGACGAUCCAUAGCUGGUCUGAGAGGAUGAUCAGCCACACUGGGACUGAGACACGGCCCAGACUCCUACGGGAGGCAGCAGUAGGGAAUAUUAGACAAUGGGCGAAAGUCUGAUACAGCAAUGCCGCGUGAGUGAUGAAGGCCUUAGGGUUGUAAAGCUCUUUGACCCGGGAUGAUAAUGACAGUACCGGGAAAAUAAGCACCGGCUAACUCCGUG